rnacentral:rRNA from 1 species
UACGAAGGGGGCUAGCGUUGCUCGGAAUGACUGGGCGUAAAGGGCGCGUAGGCGGAUAGUACAGUCAGGCGUGAAAUUCCUGGGCUCAACCUGGGGGCUGCGUUUGAUACGUAUUGUCUGGAGUUCGGAAGAGGGUCGUGGAAUUCCCAGUGUAGAGGUGAAAUUCGUAGAUAUUGGGAAGAACACCGGUGGCGAAGGCGGCGACCUGGUCCGAUACUGACGCUGAGGCGCGAAAGCGUGGGGAGCAAACAGG